AUUGAACGCUGGCGGCAGGCUUAACACAUGCAAGUCGAACGGUAACAUAAAGAAGCUUGCUUCUUUGAUGACGAGUGGCGGACGGGUGAGUAAUGCUUGGGAAUCUAGCUUAUGGAGGGGGAUAACUACGGGAAACUGUAGCUAAUACCGCGUAGAAUCGGGAGAUGAAAGUGUGGGACCUUCGGGCCACAUGCCAUAGGAUGAGCCCAAGUGGGAUUAGGUAGUUGGUGAGGUAAAGGCUCACCAAGCCGACGAUCUCUAGCUGGUCUGAGAGGAUGACCAGCCACACUGGGACUGAGACACGGCCCAGACUCCUACGGGAGGCAGCAGUGGGGAAUAUUGCGCAAUGGGGGCAACCCUGACGCAGCCAUGCCGCGUGAAUGAAGAAGGCCUUCGGGUUGUAAAGUUCUUUCGGUAGCGAGGAAGGCAUUUAGUUUAAUAAACUGGAUGAUUGACG
rnacentral:rRNA from 1 species